GCACUGCUGAGGAGUCCCAUACUAGGACGAAACGGCCGUCCAGUAC
rfam:Schistosoma curassoni strain Dakar, Senegal genome assembly, scaffold: SCTD_scaffold0003844